AUAUGUUUGUUUCCUUUUUUAUAAGAAAACACAAUUAAAUGGAUCCCGCGUCAAAAUCGGCGGAAUCGCUUCAUUUCCUUGGCCGGGGCAGGUGGAUAUGUUUGGAUUUCCCUUUUGGGGGGCCACUUUAGGAAGGAAUUUUAACCCGCUACCCUCCUCCGGGGAAAACCAGGGAUCUCCGACCUUCGCUUAAAAGUAACCUUAAUCGGAUUACUUAGUUGGUGGGUUAAAGCCUCACCAAGGCGACGAUCUGUAGCGGGUCUGAGAGGAUGAUCCGCCACACUGGGACUGAGACACGGCCCAGACUCCUACGGGAAGCAGCAGUGGGGAAUAUUGGACAAUGGGCGCAAGCCUGAUCCAGCCAUGCCGCGUGUGUGAAGAAGGCCUUAUGGUUGUAAAGCACUUUAAGCGAGGAGGAGGCUACUGAAGUUAAUACCUUCAGAUAGUGGACGUUACUCGCAGAAUAAGCACCGGCUAACUCUGUGCCAGCAGCCGCGGUAAUACAGAGGGUGCAAGCGUUAAUCGGAUUUACUGGGCGUAAAGCGCGCGUAGGCGGCUAAUUAAGUCAAAUGUGAAAUCCCCGAGCUUAACUUGGGAAUUGCAUUCGAUACUGGUUAGCUAGAGUGUGGGAGAGGAUGGUAGAAUUCCAGGUGUAGCGGUGAAAUGCGUAGAGAUCUGGAGGAAUACCGAUGGCGAAGGCAGCCAUCUGGCCUAACACUGACGCUGAGGUGCGAAAGCAUGGGGAGCAAACAGGAUUAGAUACCCUGGUAGUCCAUGCCGUAAACGAUGUCUACUAGCCGUUGGGGCCUUUGAGGCUUUAGUGGCGCAGCUAACGCGAUAAGUAGACCGCCUGGGGAGUACGGUCGCAAGACUAAAACUCAAAUGAAUUGACGGGGGCCCGCACAAGCGGUGGAGCAUGUGGUUUAAUUCGAUGCAACGCGAAGAACCUUACCUGGCCUUGACAUAGUAAGAACUUUCCAGAGAUGGAUUGGUGCCUUCGGGAACUUACAUACAGGUGCUGCAUGGCUGUCGUCAGCUCGUGUCGUGAGAUGUUGGGUUAAGUCCCGCAACGAGCGCAACCCUUUUCCUUAUUUGCCAGCGAGUAAUGUCGGGAACUUUAAGGAUACUGCCAGUGACAAACUGGAGGAAGGCGGGGACGACGUCAAGUCAUCAUGGCCCUUACGGCCAGGGCUACACACGUGCUACAAUGGUCGGUACAAAGGGUUGCUACCUAGCGAUAGGAUGCUAAUCUCAAAAAGCCGAUCGUAGUCCGGAUUGGAGUCUGCAACUCGACUCCAUGAAGUCGGAAUCGCUAGUAAUCGCGGAUCAGAAUGCCGCGGUGAAUACGUUCCCGGGCCUUGUACACACCGCCCGUCACACCAUGGGAGUUUGUUGCACCAGAAGUAGGUAGUCUAACCGCAAGGAGGACGCUACCACGGUGCCGAUCUCU
rnacentral:rRNA from 1 species